GAUGAACGCUGGCGGCGUGCCUAAUACAUGCAAGUUGAGCGAACAGACGAGGAGCUUGCUCCUCUGACGUUAGCGGCGGACGGGUGAGUAACACGUGGAUAACCUACCUAUAAGACCGUGAUAACUUCGUGAAACCGGAUCUAAUACCGGCUGAUAUAUUGAACCGCAUUGUUCAAUAGUGAAAGACGGUUUUGCUGUCCCUUAUUGAUGGAUCCGCGCCGCAUUAUCUAGUUGGUAAGGUAACGCCUUAACAAGGCAACGAUGCGUAGCCGACCUGCUAGGGGGAUUGGCAACCCUGGAACUGAGACACGGUCCAGACUCCUACGGGAGGCAGCAGUAGGGACUCGUCCGCAAUGGGCGAAAGCCUGACGGCGCAACCCCUCGUGAGGGAUGAAGGUCUUCGGAUCGUAAAACUCUGUUACUAGGGAACAACAAAUGUGUAAGUAACUAUGCACGUCUUGACGGUACCUAAUCAGAAAGCCACGGCUAACUACGUG
rnacentral:rRNA from 1 species